CUGAGAUCCCAGCACUUGGAAGCAGGGUGGAGGAGGUAGGAGGAUUGAGUGUUUGAGGUCAGCCUGAGUCACAAAUUGAAACUCAGGGGGAGAGAUGUGCAGAAAGGGAAGAAGGAAAAAAAAGAGGGGAAAAGGUUACUCCGCUCUUCCAGAAGGUACUCUCAUCUUAGCCUGCCUUGGAAUGACUUAUUGUCAAUGCUGCACAGUAAUGGGCUCUUUCCCGGAGUUUUCAAGGGCAGAAUUCUUAGCCAGGAGCCACGUGUAGUCACUUUACCAUCCAUUUUCUUUGUAUUUCAAGACACUUGGGUUCCAAUUUUAGUUCCAAGCCUCUGUUUCUUCGCAUAACAAAUGGACCAAAUGAUAUUCACUCCACGAAUUUAUGCGACCAGGAGAGAUUCGCGCCAGAAAGCAGCAGGGGAGCCGUUGCCUUGACCCACCGGGGCCUCCAGCCCCUCCCCGCCAGACGCAGGCUAAUGCGAUACAGACGUCUCCUUCCCCGCAUGGCUCUCCCACCCGCCGCCCCUCUCCAGACGGACAUCGCUCUUCCGAAGUCAUAUUUUGGAGGUCAUCAGGCCACUUUUCCGCGGACCCAGGGAGAGGCCUGCACCUCGGGACUUCCUAGCUACCCAGGGGGUAUUGUAUUCACCACCGGCAGAAGCCAACUUCAAAGGGGCAUCAGGCGGGGCUUCUCACUCAUAUCGAUGGUACAACAGUGACCUCCAGUGGUUGAGCCAGGAGACAAAAAAAAAAAAAAACCUGCAAUGUCUCAAAACAAUCCAGUCCUAGGAAGACAGUCUACAAUGUAAUAGGAUUUCCUAGAAAUCCUGUGUACAGCAUCUAAAAAAUCAACAACGACGACAAUGAUGGCCCCCAAAGUUGCUGAAUCUAAGAACCCCAGCAGAUGUGGCCAGUGGAAAGUCUCCAGAAUACAGUGCACAUGGAACUCUAAGGAACUGAGCACCGCUGCCUAUAAUUUGGGACAAUGUCUUCACCUCUUAAUCCACUCCAGACCACCACCACCACCACUCCAGUCCCCAAGUAGCUUGUAUUAAUUCCUCUGUUAGAAAUGACCUCUUGAUUUCUCUGCCCGAUAACAUCUUGUUAUGAUGUCAGAUGAAAGCUGGUCACUAGAGGACAUGUUCAAGAUCGUCCCUCCUAGCAGAAUUAACAUAUAGUAUCAAGGACAUCAAUACUGCUGUAUGUGUUUGACUUAAGAAGCAACAUGAUACAGCACUGUUAUAGGGACCUACUAUGCUCUGAGUUCUAGGUAAAGGCUGAAAGGUAUGGAAUGUAAGUCACCUUUUUUGUUUUUGUUUUUGUUUUUGUUUUGUUUUGUUUUUUAGCACUGUAACAAAACACCUGAGGAAACGACAUAAGAAAGGAAGGAUUUUAAUUUUUAGAUCUAUUCAGAUAUAUGUAUGCAGAUUUAGAUCUUUCUGUCCACUGUCAUUGGUAUCUGUUGCUUCUGGAUUAGGGUGCAGUGAUGCAGAACAUUGGGACAAAGAGCAAAGUGACCCUCCUCAUGGCAGACAGGAGGUGGAGAUGGGAAGAACCCAAUAGGAUCAAGAUAACAUCCUCCUAAAGGAUGGCCCCAGGGACCUACUUCCUCCAGUGAGGCCCUACUUCCUGAUAAAGCCAUUAAAUUAUGAGUUCAUGCCAUCGACUAACCUACAGAUUAGGUCAGAGCCCUCAUGAGCCAACCAUUUCCCCAAAGCUCAAUUGCUGAAUGUUGCAGUGAGGACAUUGAUGAGGGAUGCACUUCACAUGCAAAUUAUACUAAUUACUGAGCUCUGAGUGUUGCAGACCAGUGGGGUGUGCACAGGGAAACAACUGCUACCAAAUGUGGUAAGGAAUUCUGCAUUUGUCUCAAGUGGAAGUCAUCACUCUGGUCUUCAAAGAACUGCAAUCGAGGGGCUGUCUGAAUAAAUGAAGGGGCUUUGGUUGGGGCUUUGUGGGUUGAAUAGGAGUUAAUGAGGCAGGUAGAAUGAUUUAAGAUGGAAAAGAAGAGAUGAUGCACAUUUGGGGUAUGACAUAACUACCUAGAAGUGAGUGUGUCGAGACAAGGAGCCAUCUACACCGGCCCACACUGACUGGGUUAUUUAUCAUUGGCUGUUGCACAGCCUAGAGAUACAAGGCUGAAACAUAACUGAGACCAGGAAAGAGGACCUUCCAAACUGUAGGCUAUGGAAAUCAGAGUCUUCAAUGAUUGCUGAACUGAAACAAUAUUUAGGGAGAAUAACCUCACACAUAAACUAGAAUAGCAUACAGCACAAGCUAAAAUCAAAUCAGGUUUCUGUCCAUUAGUGGUCCUCAGACCACAGGGGUAUGGGCUGAUCAAAUCUCACCUGCAGGGGUUAAGAUCAGUCACUGAGCCAGUGAACAAACAGGUCAGGCACAAAACAGAAGACAAAAACACAAGAGGGGCAGCUGCCCAGCUGCAGUUGUCAAUGGAGACAUAUGUCAACAUUACAGGAAAUGAGACGGCCCAACAGGAGAGUGGAGAUGUCAAACUGUAUCUUUGUGAACUGCAUCUUGCCAGAUCAUGACUGAUUUUUGAAUGUCCUCACUGUUGAGAGGAAAUCUGGUGAAAAUGCUCAGGUCUAUCUCUGAGAUCCGGGAAGCCUCAGAGGGACCAGUGGGGCCCCACUCUCCAUUAAACCCACAUCCUGAGUAGCUGGGAGAUGACAGCCUGUUUGUUCUUCAGCCUCAGAUAAUAAAUACUGGCCAGAUUUGCUGGAAUCUGGCCGUUCUGGGUAACUUAUCAUGAAUAAAGAGAAAUAUGCCCCUUCAGGGGACUCAUUGAUGGCUGAGGUGGACAAUAGCUUAAGCCAUGUGGCUGUGCAUUAUACAAUCCCAGGAAUGCAGGAAAUUUAUCUACAGCAGGUCGUGCAUGGUGUGAGGAAAAUUGGCAACCUGCUGUAGAGGGUACAAGGAUCUCCAUCCAGGCCCCCAGUGAGAGUUGCUGGUCUGCACUGUGAUAAACACAGCAUGGGGGACCUUUCUGCUUACUGACACAAUCCUCCCAUUAGAAAAUAAUCUCCCUGAGGAGUCUCCCUGAGCACCGAGCCUGGACUCUGCACCCAAAAAGCCCUGGCUGAAUCAGAGAACAGUGAGCACCUCCAGGAUGAAGAACUAGGAAGUCCCUGAAGAUGCCUGAAGAUUGGCAGGAGUCGCAGAACAUUCCAUGCUUCUCAGACAUGCCCUUUUAUCUUCGUAUUAAUACUGUUUACAUGGGUAUUAGAAAGAAUGUGAAAUUGGGAAACAGAUAAAAGUGGUUUUGAAUUCUG